GACGAACCGAGCGAACGUUGUUCGGAAUCACUGGGCUUAAAGGGCGCGUAGGCGGGCCGCCGCGUCCGGGGUGAAAUCCUCCCGCUCAACGGGAGAACGGCCUCGGAUACGGGCGGCCUGGAGGGGGGUAGGGGCGUGCGGAACUGUGGGUGGAGCGGUGAAAUGCGUUGAUAUCGGAAGGAACACCGGUGGCGAAAGCGGCGCGCUGGAUCUCUACUGACGCUGAGGCGCGAAAGCGUGGGUAGCAAACAGG
rnacentral:rRNA from 1 species